rnacentral:rRNA from 1 species
UACAGAGGUCUCGAGCGUUGUUCGGAUUCAUUGGGCGUAAAGGGUGCGUAGGCGGUGACGUAAGUUGGAUGUGAAAUCCCGGAGCUUAACUCCGGAACUGCAUUCAAUACUGCGUUGCUAGAGUACUGGAGAGGAGAUUGGAAUUCACGGUGUAGCAGUGAAAUGCGUAGAUAUCGUGAGGAAGACCAGUGGCGAAGGCGAAUCUCUGGACAGUAACUGACGCUGAGGCGCGACAGCGUGGGGAGCAAACAGG